UUUAAACAAAUAUUUUCUUUUCUGAGUGAUGCUGAUAAGUAUCUUUAUUACGUAUGUAAGUGGCUGUGGGAAUGGCCAUCCCAGGAAGGUGCAUAGUGGUUUAUCUGUUAGAAGGCUGUGCCUGGGUAGGCUUCAUUCAGGUGCAUGUGGUAACUUAUUUUUAAAUGCAGAACUCCUGUCAGCUGAGGUGUAGUGGGUUAUUUCCACUGUCUGUUCUCCCAGUACACAGCCCCUGAUGGCUGCUGGUGCUGCGGGGCCGCUCAGUGGGCUCUGUGUGCUCAGUGCCUGACUGUGCAGUUCAAUCUGUGUCUGCAGUACUGCUCUGCCCACUUAGGGCUCCUGAGAGGCAAUUCACCUGUUUAUUCUCCUCCUUCUGCUGGGAAUUUCUACCUGGGGCUAACUUCUGCCAGAGGCUCUCAUUAUUCUUUCUACCUGGACAUGUCAGACUCCACACCAGCGAAGCCUCCUGUUGGUGAACUCAUCCUUUUGUGUUGUGAGGUGGCUUCAGGGACAUCCCACUGCAUUUACAGUGACAACCCAGGGUGAAGAGGAUCCCAUUUUUGGGAAGGGGAUAUUGAAGCUCACAGGCAGGUAUGCUGGAAAAUGAGUUGAAACCAAAUUUUCACUGGCUGACCUCCAUGCCCCUUCCUCCCCCUUUUGCAGACCACUGCACUUGCAGAGUGGACACAGCUAAUUUCAUAUUGCAGGUUUUUUACAUGAAUUCAAGGCUCAGUCUGUGACUUACUGAGCACCACUAGAAUGGAAUGGUUAGGAAGGAGCUUUUUUACUAAUCUGCUUUUAGAGUCCAAUUUUCACAUCUGAGUCUUAUGAUAGGAGAUCAAAGUCCCUCAUUAGGGGACUGAAUCCAAUAUUUAAUACACUUAAUGCCACUUUAUAUACUCACAAGAUAGGCUGGUUUCUGUAUAAAACAACAUUCGAGCUCCUUGUGACACUUAAUGAAGGGACAGAAGGGGUGUUUUAAGCCCUCAUUUUCCAUGCUGUUACAUGGUGGUGGAGCAGGACUGACUUCAGUAGUUAGCAUGUCAUACAAGCAGCCUGUCAAAAGUAGGAUCAGUCUCCUCUGCUUGCCAUGAGGGGAUACAGAAGUAUCCUUAUUAAUGCAUGUGUCUUUCAAAAACUGCUGUGAUAUCCUGCAUUCCAACAUCUUUGGAACAUCCUGGACUUGGGGAAUGUCAAAACUCAGGAUUUGAGUGCACACUGUUGCUCUGUAAAUGGUAUUGGAACUGAUUAACCUAUCAAUCUCUAUUAUCCAGCUACUGGAAACAAGACACAUCCUUCUCCUGGGGAUUUACCUGGAGUGAGAUCAAAAGGAAGCUGCUUUCUCCCCUUCCUGCAUAAAGGUUCAAAAUUUGUUUUGACUAGUGAUGUUGAAAAUAAAUAAAUAUAUCAUGUGACCUGAAUAACUCA
rnacentral:lncRNA from 1 species